rnacentral:rRNA from 1 species
UACGGGGGGGGCAAGCGUUGUUCGGAAUUACUGGGCGUAAAGGGCUCGUAGGUGGCCAACUAAGUCAGACGUGAAAUCCCUCGGCUUAACCGGGGAACUGCGUCUGAUACUGGAUGGCUUGAGUUCGGGAGAGGGAUGCGGAAUUCCAGGUGUAGCGGUGAAAUGCGUAGAUAUCUGGAGGGACACCGGUGGCGAAGGCGGCAUCCUGGACCGACACUGACACUGAGGAGCGAAAGCCAGGGGAGCAAACGGG